AUAUAAAAACAAUAUCGUGGCACCAUUUGCAAAAUUGCAUCUGAAAGAACCACAACACUUUUAGAAGUGUGUUGUCAGAGUUCACCGAAGCUAAGGUGUUUGGUCACAAUGCACUGCACCAGGCCCAGAGAAAAGUAAACACCUAAAGUAAACUCAAACAACUCACCAACUGUCGAGCAUGAGGGGGGCUGAUGAUUUGAGAUUUGAAUCCAAGAGAUAUGGACACCUGGCAGACAAACAUGAAGUUCUAUCAUAUUUGAGGUCAUUUAUCAAACAAUUCAAGCUUGGACCAAACCUAACAUUGGUUCUGAAAGCCGUUUAAACAAUUGUUUUUAUUUUUCCGGAUGACUGUAAAUUUUAAAAAGGUUAAGGGGUAUUGUAGAGAGGAUUCAUUUUGACUUCCAUAUAAUGUCCGCAUUGUUGCAUGAAUGGCUUACUUUUGAAAAAAUUAUUUUGCUUUAAGUGAGUACAUAUAUAUGUACUGUUGUAACUUUAGGUAUCAAAAUAUCCAUUUAAUUUGUGCUACACUAAUCUUAGAAACACUGCUUUGCAGAAACAAAACACUUUUAGGUCUAUUGCUAUAACAAUAUUUAAGUUUUGGGGGGGAAAAAAACAAAAACAAAUCUCAUGCGCUUUUUUGGUCACCUUGCUUGCACGGUCACUUGAGAGUGAUGGACUAUUUUAUGUUACGCCUACUUUUAUUCAAGCGGAAGGAUACGGAUCUAAGUGUCCAAACUCGGAGCGCUGAGGACGCUUUGGAUUUGCUUUUGAAAGACGUUCUCUGAUUGGAUAAGACAAACCCGCAUACUCUCCCAGUGUAAAGGGGCUAGUGAUUGGCUCACAGGGAUCUGCAAUGCGUCAAAGCACGGAGCGGCAAUGAGGGCAACGUCUCCACAGCGACAACGUAGUAGAAAAAAAAGCAGGUGAUGACUCGCAGGUAAUCUACAGGUGUGUUGCCUAAUAAAGUGGUGAGCCUCAGACCGAAAUAAGGAAUAAGACCUUUGCUACCACGGAAAUACGGGAGAAAAGUGAAAGAAAUGGAUGUACAUCCUCCACAGUAGAGGACAAUGAGCACCGAUCUCUGUUGAUGUGGCACCCUCAAACAGUCCCCGGAUUCGGUUGCUGAGGCCAUUUUCUGGUAGAAUGGGCAGGGCCUCAUCCAAGCAACAAGACCUACAAAUGAUGAACAUACUCAUCAUCACUUUCAGCCUCACCUCUGAGCUGCAUCCACCAGCUGCUUCCUAUGCUGUUCAGCAACAAUCGCAAACAGACGGGGUACCACGCUGCUGCUGUUGUCUCUGGUUACAGUGUGGAAAAACCGGCGUGCCCGGCCGGCGCUAUGGAGCAGACCUGAAUGUAAACAUUCCACAGGGGGGCGCUGUAUGGCCAAGCUGAGAGGGAACAGUGAGCAGUGAGAGGUUCUCCAGGAGCAUGCUCGGCUGAUAGGGGGCAGCAGAGAGCACAAAAUCCACCGGGAAACCCAGAAAGGCCAAGAAACUGAGAAGAAACCGCAGCUGGAGUUCUGGUGAAGUCAGACAAAUAAGGGAUGGGCCGAUGUCAUCAAACAGCACCUGGACACGGAGAAAGAAUGAAGCAGAGAUGUUUCAAUGAGGUCUCCAGGGCAACCAGUGAGCUGCUUCACGGGACGACUCCACAUCCAGCCAGACGGUCCCUCUGGGCUGGCUCCGGUCUUUCACCUCCUCUU